rnacentral:rRNA from 1 species
UAUUUAUUUACACCACUAACCGCCCGGGAAUUACGAGCCCAAGCUUAAAACCCAAAGGACUUGACGGUGUCCCACCCACCUAGAGGAGCCUGUUCUAUAAUCGAUUCCCCCCGAUCUACCUCACCACUUCUAGCCUCUCAGCCUGUAUACCUCCGUCGUAAGCUUACCAUAUGAACGAUUUCCAGUGAGCUAAAAGAUUCUACAUAAAUACGUCAGGUCAAGGUGCAGCCCACGAUGUGGAAAGAAAUGGGCUACAAUUUCUAUAAUAGAACAUAACGAAAGACUACAUGCAACUCAGUCAUGAAGGCGGAUUUAGUAGUAAAAAGAAAGUAGAGAGUUCUUUUUAAUUAGGCGCUGGGACGCGUACACACCGCCCG